rnacentral:rRNA from 1 species
UACGUAGGUGGCAAGCGUUAUCCGGAAUUAUUGGGCGUAAAGGGAGCGCAGGCGGACAAGUCAGUCUAAAGUGAAAUUCCGGGGCUCAACCUCGGACUUGCUUCGGAUACUACUUGUCUUGAGUUCGUGAUAGGAAGACGGAAUUCAGGGUGUAGCGGUGAAAUGCACAGAUAUCCUGAGGAACACCGGUGGCGAAAGCGGUCUUCUGGCGCGAAACUGACGCUGAGGCUCGAAAGCGUGGGUAGCAAACGGGAUUAGAUACCCCGGUAGUCCCUGA